CUUUCCCUCCUAAAAACCCUCACCACAUGCCAAAAACGCCAUUCUCUCCCCACUUCUCUUCAUCUCCACCGCUGAUUGCUCACAUGUCUCCAUCUCCACCGAUCAUCGAUCUAUCUACACCGGCCGCCAACCACACACGCGAUUCUCUCUAUUUUCAGAAUUUGGCAUUUCAAUUCUCUCCGUUCUCAUCACAGCGACCCACAAAUGCACAGUUGAUGGCAAUUCUCAUCACAACCGAUGACAAUUCUCAUCACAUCACAGCGACGCACAGCCCAUGUGAUUCUCAGAUCUUCACCUUCGCUGUAGUUUGUUCUAUUUGCUGGUAAAAGCUUUAAGGUCGAUGAAAAAGGAGGUGGAAGUUACUAGUGAACCAUCCAAUCUACCAAUACAAUUGAAGUAUAUUCUCAGAUAUGCUGAAAGGGUAAUGGUUGAGGGGUCUUGUUUUUCCUUUCAACUAUCUCCUGAGCUAUUUGGUAUACCUCGAAAGAGUGACGUUUUGCAAGAAGAUGUCAUUGAUUUUUGCAACAUGCAAAAAGUAAAGACUUUAUCAAUGGUGGCUUAUAUUACGUAUUUCUACACACUCAUUAUUGAUUUGAAGAAGGUUUCAAAGUACGUUUUUGUAGAUCCAUCUCUUAUUCCAGCUAGUCAUAGUACUAUGAGAUUAGAGCUCGAAACAUCUGUAGUAAAUUAAUGACUUCCAAACAAGUUCAAUUGGUAAUUGCUCCUUAUAAUCCCAGGUAAGUAUAAUUUUUAUCAAUUCAAACUUGCAUUAGUACCAAAAUACUAAUUACUUGCAUGCAUAUAUAUAUUUCAUUUAGUGAUCAUUGGUCAUUAGUAGUCAUUAAUGCAUAUGAUGAUGUAGUGUACCAUCUUGACUUAUUGAGAACAAGCUCCCGAGAUGAUAUCAAAUACGUAACGAAUAUGUAAGUUAACUUUGUUUAUGUUUCUUUUUUUUAAUCGCUAAAAAAAUUAGUUCAUUUUGAUUUAUACUAUACUUUGGAAAAUCUAGGGCCUUGACGAUCUUCUAAUAUUAAAAGAAUUUACAAAAUCAGAAAAACAACAUUUUAGAAAAUGGUAAAGGUAAAUAUAUUUAUAAAAUUAUUUACAACUGAAUUUUGCACUUAAUCUAAUAUGCAUUGUUAUUUGGUUAUGUUAUAGUCUCCUUUACAAGUAGGUACUGUUGAAUGUGGAUAUUAUGUCAUGAGAUAUAUGCGCGAAAUCGUGAGUAAGGACACAAACAUUAUUAUUGAUGCGGUAUGUUUUUAAACUACUGAUAUUGUAACAUUAUAAAUAGUAUAAUAUGACUAAUUUUUAGUUUUAACAAAGUAUCUACUCGACUUUUUAUGUUUUAUAGAUUGAUCCAAGAAACUCAUACUCACAACUUGAAUUGGAUGAAGUAUGAGUGGAAUGGGCUGAAUUUUUAGCUCGGUACAUAUGAUAGACACACCUAGAUAUGAUCUUAAUUUUGUAAAUGGCUAACAUAUGGGAAUGCCCAUAACCUUUUUUGUGUAAAUGUUUUGUUCAUAGUCAUCAUGCUUAUAUACAUGAGGCAAUAGAUGCAAGUGGAUAGACUUUAGUUUUGGUAUAGAA